rnacentral:rRNA from 1 species
CCUACGGGUGGCAGCAGUGGGGAAUAUUGGGCAAUGGGCGCAAGCCUGACCCAGCAACGCCGCGUGAAGGAAGAAGGCUUUCGGGUUGUAAACUUCUUUUAUGAGGGAAGAGCAGAAGACGGUACCUCUUGAAUAAGCCACGGCUAACUACGUGCCACCAGCCGCGGCAAUACGUCGGUGGCAAGCGUGGUCCGGAUUUACUGGGUGUAAAGGGCGGGCGGCCGGGAAGACAAGUCAGAUGUGAAGUCCCGCGGCUCAACCGCGGAACUGCAUUUGAUACUGUUUUUCUUGAGUACGGGAGAGGUCAUCGGAAUGCCUGGUGUAGCGGUGAAAUGCGUAGAUAUAAGGAAGAACACCAGUGGCGAAGGCGGAUGACUGGACGGCAACUGACGGUGAGGCGCGAAAGCGUGGGGAGCAAACAGGAUUAGAUACCCCUGUAGUC